rnacentral:tRNA from 1 species
CGUUAGCUCAGCCGGUAGAGCGUUGGACUUUUAUUCCAAAGGCCAAGGUUUCAAGUCCCUUAUCGGGCU